rnacentral:lncRNA from 1 species
CCGCUUAUGUUCAUAUCGUCAUAUGUCCUAGGACAUGGUAUGCUAGCUAUAUGCUUGAAUGAUUUAUCCCACACAACUCUCACUAUAAGCUGGCUGAUGUGGUUCUGCAGACCUUGGAGAGAUUGUUCGAGCCAAGUUUGAUUUCGACGUGGUGGGCCACUACUCGCGACCUGAGGUGCUGAGUUUGGUGGUGAAGACUGAUCCAAAGCCUGCUGUCUCCUUCACUUCCGCAUCAGAGAAGACUAACGCUGGAUAGGGCAAUGACGUCUUGAAUACCUAAUGAUCACAUAUCCUAUAUAUAAUAACAAUUGCAAGUUGUCAUUGCAUGAAAGUAGUCGCAGACUUCUGUUCAGAAUAAACUAGACUGACUUCCUUAAUAAUGGCCCUAGUUUUCGACAUUUUUUCUUUACGGACUUAGCAGCCAUGCAUCUUGGAAAUCUCACGUGACCUUGAGCCAAAAGAAAUAAAAUGGGAGGGAGGGAGGUCAUCGCGAUAUACCACCUCUCCUAGACUCCUUCGCUCGCCUCGACCCCGCCAAACCAAAAUACGAACAGAUAUCAAAACGCACACGGACCACGACCUGGUACGGUCACGGGCUUCAAUUGGGCCGUGCCUCGAGCAAAUGGACUUGAGAGCCCAUAACCCGACAAGAAUACUGUCCAUGUCAUAAUCAACACAAAGUAAUACAUAUAGACAUUAAUUAAAUUAAUAAAUUGUAGCUCUUAAGUUUCAUAAAGAAAGGGAGAGAUAAAUAGAUAUACAAAACUUUUUGUUUCCAUUUUCCAUGAACGUUUGAUAGCAUUUUUUCAUCCAUUACGACGCACAUGCAUGUUUGCUAUUUUUUUAGAAGCUCUCUUUUAUAACUUUGUACGUGUUUAUGUUAUAAGGAAGAUUUAUAAAUCAUUUAUAAGUUGUUUGGUUAGAUGAAGCACUCCAUUCUAGAAGAGGUGAUGCAUAAUGACUCCAUUCCUUCAAAUUUAGCGGAAUGACUUCAUUUCUAGUACUAAUAGUCUAAUACUAAUCAUUAGCUCAUGAGAAAUGAGAUGACGAUAAAUGACACAUUUUAUUCCAUAAACCAUUCCUGAAACCAAACAUCCAGUUAAAUAUUGAAUGCGUUGUAAAGGCCAAUAAGCACUUUACAAGUUUUGGAAGAAGAGCCUGACACGGGCAAAGAGUUCAGUUGACCUAGAACGAUUUGUCUAAGCUUGUCCUCUGCACGAGGUCUUAUUAGGGAAAAACAAUCUCCUCCGAUCUAUAUACACAUUGGGAACAAGCGAGAGGAAAAAAAUAAUCCAAAUUUUCGUUCUAACCUGCAGGUAUCGGGAGGAACUAAACAAGUUUAUCAACAUAUUAUGAGAGAAAAACUAUUAUGAGCCCAUUCGCUUUCUCUACCGACAACAGCUUAGUCGUAGCUUUUUGGUCCUAUGUAAUCUGCAUUUUGGUUUCCAGUAGCUAGGUUCUCUUGCUGGGUGUUGGUCUCUCGCCUUCGUCCAACUUCGCUUGUAAUAUUUGGUUAUCCUUUUUUAAUAAAAAACAGACUAAAUUUCCGAUCGUGAAAAAGAAAAGUCAUGACUGAAAGUAUUGUUCGCUGAUUUAUUAUGAAAGAAAAACAUUUUUGAUUAGCAGAAAAAAUACAGAUCUUAUAACACAUGAUACUUGAUGCGAACUUGCAUUCGUGUACCUGCAGACUGCUGCUGCCGCUCUCAGUCCUUCUCCUUCCUUAUUAUAAACCGCCCACUGGCCUGGUAGUGGUUGGUGCUCUCCGGCAGUUCUGCUCCUCUGCACGGCCUCUCUCGCCUCCGGUAUCCACCUCUCCUUCCUUCCUUCACAUCGAGCCGCGAUAUAUAAUAAGUAGCUAGCCGGCCGGAGACGACGACGAUGGCCCUCGCUCCAGCGAGCUCCGGCAAAGAGCCCGUGAUCAGCCCGCCGGAGGUGGAGAUGAACGGCGGCGCUGACCAGCCCGCCGCCACAACCGUGCGUGCCUCCGUCGUGCAGGCGUCGUCCGUGUUCUACGACACCCCCGCCACUCUCGGUGCGUGCAAGUUUUCUCUCCAAUCCCCCCCGCGUUGUUCUUGCGCUUGUUGUUGGAGUAGCUCGCCCAUGCAUCCGCCUACUUUGACUGUGUAAUUUGCACUUUGUUCGUGCAAAUUAGUUUAGUUUAGCCUAGUUUGAUUGUGUAGCGUCUAGCGUGAUGGCUCGUACUUCGUAGAGGUUCGUGAACCAAAUCGUUUAGGCCUUGUUUAGUUCCAAAAUUUUUUACAAAAUAGGAAUAAUAUCACUUUCGUUUGUAUUUGACAAAUAUUAUCCGAUCAUAUACUAGACUCAAAAGAUUCGUCUCAUCAAUUUCGACCAAACUAUACAAUUAGUUUUUAUUUUCGUCUAUAUUUAAUACUUCAUGCAUACGUCUAAAGAUUUGAUGUGACGGAGAAUCUGAAAAAUUUUGUAAAAUUUUUUGGAACUAAACAAGGCCUUAAUUGAAUUAUGACAGUAAGUGUUGUUAUGUUGUAGAGUAAGCUUUACCAAUAGUGAACACUCGUAUCAGUAAUUGAUUGACAUGACGCGGCAUCUACUUCAAGGAGACAUUUUUCUCUGCUACUCGCGUACUACUGCUGAUAUAAUUUCCUAGACAUAUAUAUGGAGGGACAGGUGGGCUUUGUCAAGGUGAAUGAGGUAGAUGGUGAAAGCAAAUUGUAUUAGCUUUUCGUUAGAUAGUGCUGCAUGAGUUUGCGUGGACAGUUUUUCUUUCUUGGAGGGCCUGGAAGAUGAGGUAUUUGAGGUGCGACGGCACACUGGCAUUCGAGAGAAAAAAAAUACUCCAUUCGUCCUAAAGUUAGCUUUUCGAGAAUUUAAACAAUCUUGAUUUUAACUGAAUUUAUAAAAACAUGCAUAUCAUUAGGAUAACUAAUCUAUUUGGUGGUAUAAAUCGUGAUAUUUUUUAUAAAUGUAACAAAGAAAGUAAUAUCUUUUGUGGGCAUACUACAAUUUGACGCCUCAGUUGCUACCAAGUACUAGAGUCAUAUUUUCUAACAACUUUUUUCUCUGUCUUUUAAUAUAGUGAAUAUAUAUGCAUUAAUAUUUUUCAUAAAUAUAAGAGGUUUGGAAAAAAAAAGGUGGGCAAAUUUGGCACAAUCACUAUUCAGUACGUGUGCAUCGCUAACUGUAUUGGGCACAUGACGCCCCACGCACCGGAAUCAACGAAGAAGGGGCAGCGGCGUAGCGGGCGGACAGGCGGUGGGCGGAGCGGCCAGUGGCGAGGUCACCGUGGCCGGGGCAGUGGACAAGGCGGUAGUGGAGGUGGUGGUUAGGGUUACGGUUGGUCGACAGGUGAGGCUUCAAGAAUCACCUCGACUCUAGAUUGCUAGCCAAUCGGCUAGGGGCGGCGGCCACGACACGUUGGUGGUGGCUGGUGGUGAGCGAGGCGGCGGCGCCGCGGCCCGCGGGCAGGGUAGGACAACUGGAUAGGCGGGGUAUGCAGCGAUGUCGUGCUUCGGCGAAGUUAGGGGAGGGCAGGUUCAUCUGGUGGAGAUGUCCGGUGGGCGGGGAGGUCGCCGGCGAGCUUGGGCAGUGGGUCGAGGUGGGUGGGGGAGGGGCUUGCUGGGGAAGAAGAAGAAGAAGAAGAAGAAGAAGAAGAAGAAGAAGAAGAGUGGGGAGGAGGGAAAGAAGAGAAACAAUAUGCGCCAAUAAGGUUGCUGGUGUGCGUGCGGGAAAGGGCCCCACAAAUUUGGUAGAUAGAUUAUUGUUACCUGCCAUUUAUCAAGCAACCCCUUCAAUCAUGUGGAUGAGUGUCUUUUUUAAGAAGUAAAGUAAAGGUGUAUGUUUUUUGUAUUUUCUCUUGAUCUCUAGGAUACACUUCAUUAUAGGACACAGGAAGUAAAUCUUAUUAUGUCAUUGGACAUGUGGCAUUUUGUAAAUUUCGUCACUUCAUUUUGCUACAGAUAAAGCGGAGAAAUUCAUAGCGGAGGCAGCCGGAAACGGUUCACAGCUGGUGCUAUUUCCAGAAGCCUUCAUUGGUGGCUACCCUCAUGGAUCUACAUUUGGACUGGCUAUUGGCAAUCGCACUGCCAAGGGAAAGGAAGACUUCCAAAAGUACCAUGCAGCUGCCAUAGAUGUUCCUGGUAUUCUAAACUAAAAUAAUGCUAGUCUAUCCAUGUUUAUUUUUCACGAAUGUAGACAUCUAUUGCUUCUCUUUAGAACACUUUACAGAUGCUGCUUGAUGAAUGCAUACAGGCCCAGAAGUGUCCCGCUUAGCUUCAUUAGCCGGAAAAUACAAGGUGUUUCUGGUGAUGGGGGUGGUUGAAAGGGCAGGCUAUACACUCUACAACACGGCGCUCUUCUUCGAUCCUCUGGGAAAAUUUCUAGGGAAGCACCGCAAGCUCGUGCCUACUGCACUGGAACGUACAUUCUGGGGUUUUGGAGAUGGAUCUACGCUGCCCGUCUUUGAUACCCCGUUGGGAAAAAUCGGUGCCCUCCUCUGCUGGGAAAACAAGAUGCCACUUGCCAGGACAGCCAUGUACGCCAAAGGUAUGUAUGUAUCCCUAGCUAGCUAUUUCAUGGCCGGAAGUAGCUCCUGGUGCUUAAGUACCUAUGUAUUCCAACACUGUUCUUGCACAGUGUCUCAUGCUGAAACCUCCUCUGUGUGUGUUUGUGCAGGGAUUCAGAUAUAUUGUGCUCCCACAGCUGAUGCGUCCCCAACUUGGGUGGCUUCCAUGACGCAUAUCGCCCUCGAAGGGGGAUGCUUCGUGGUGUCGGCAAACCAGUUCUGUCGCAGGAAGGACUACCCACCCCCUCCGGAGUAUACAUUCGGUGGCCUCGACGAAGAGCCAUCCCCGGAGACUGUUGUGUGUCCUGGAGGAAGUGUCAUCGUUUCACCGUCCGGGACAGUGUUGGCAGGCCCCAACUUCGAGGGUGAGGGCCUCGUUACAGCUGACCUCGGUAAGAAACCAGACCGCCGAUUCAUAUGAAUUCUACUGAAAAUGUGACAGUUAACAGCCUAUUCGUUUAAGUUUAUCCGCCGAAUCUACCCGUCAUUUAUAACAAAUUAAUGAAUACUACUUUCUGUCAUGACUUAUCAGCAAACGAACGAGACUAUGCUUGAAUGAUUUUUGUUCUGAGACAGCUCAGCUCUCAGUAGAAACUGCCUAAUUAUGGUUUGGUUCACAGACCUUGGAGAGAUUGUUCGAGCCAAGUUUGAUUUCGACGUGGUGGGGCACUACUCGCGACGUGAGGUGCUGAGUUUGGUGGUGAAGACUGAUCCAAAGUCUGCUGUCUCUUUCACUGCUUCAGCCGAUGGAGAGAGGCCGGCUUCCGCUGG